rnacentral:snoRNA from 1 species
ACUGCCCCUAGAGGCAUUUCAGGUAUGGCUGCUGUGUCACAUAUCAGUAGGUGGCAGAGAGGAGAGAGACUCCAUCCAUGCUCCGUGUUCAGACAGGGAGGUAGCCUGCGCAAC